UACGGGGGGGGCAAGCGUUGUUCGGAAUUACUGGGCGUAAAGGGCUUGUAGGUGGCCAACUAAGUCAGACGUGAAAUCCCUCGGCUUAACCGGGGAACUGCGUCUGAUACUGGAUGGCUUGAGUGUGGGAGAGGGAUGCGGAAUUCCAGGUGUAGCGGUGAAAUGCGUAGAUAUCUGGAGGAACACCGGUGGCGAAGGCGGCAUCCUGGACCAUAACUGACGCUGAGGAACGAAAGCCAGGGGAGCAAACGGG
rnacentral:rRNA from 1 species